GUAGGUGGCAAGCGUUGUCCGGAAUUAUUGGGCGUAAAGCGCGCGCAGGCGGUUCUUUAAGUCUGAUGUGAAAGCCCACCGGCUCAACCGGUGGAGGGUCAUUGGAAACUGGAGAACUUGAGUACAGAAGAGGAAAGCGGAAUUCCACGUGUAGCGGUGAAAUGCGUAGAGAUGUGGAGGAACACCAGUGGCGAAGGCGGCUUUCUGGUCUGUAACUGACGCUGAGGCGCGAAAGCGUGGGGAGCAAACAGGGAUUAGAUACCCUGGUAGUCCACGCCGUAAACGAUGAGUGCUAAGUGUUAGGGGGGUUUCCGCCCCCUUAGUGCUGCAGCUAACGCAUUAAGCACUCCGCCUGGGGAUACGGCCGCAAGGCUG
rnacentral:rRNA from 1 species